rnacentral:rRNA from 1 species
ACGCUGGCGGCAGGCCUAAUACAUGCAAGUCGAGCGCGCCCUUCGGGGUGAGCGGCGGACGGGUGAGUAACGCGUGGGAAUAUGCCCUUCUCUAAGGAAUAGCCUCUGGAAACGGAGAGUAAUACCUUAUACGCCCUUUGGGGGAAAGAUUUAUCGGAGAAGGAUUAGCCCGCGUUAGAUUAGGUAGUUGGUGGGGUAAUGGCCUACCAAGCCUACGAUCUAUAGCUGGUUUGAGAGGAUGAUCAGCCACACUGGGACUGAGACACGGCCCAGACUCCUACGGGAGGCAGCAGUAGGGAAUCUUAGACAAUGGGGGCAACCCUGAUCUAGCCAUGCCGCGUGUGUGAUGAAGGCCCUAGGGUCGUAAAGCACUUUCGCCAGAGAUGAUAAUGACAGUAUCUGGUAAAGAAACCCCGGCUAACUCCGUGCCAGCAGCCGCGGUAAUACGGAGGGGGUUAGCGUUGUUCCGGAAUUACUGGGCGUAAAGCGCACGUAGGCGGAUUAGUAAGUUAGAGGUGAAAUCCCAGGGCUCAACCCUGGAACUGCCUUUAAUACUGCUAGUCUUGAGUUCGAGAGAGGUAAGUGGAAU